rnacentral:rRNA from 1 species
CGAAAGCCUGACGGAGCAAUACCGCGUGAGGGAGGAAGGUCCUUGGAUUGUAAACCUCUUUUCUCAGGGAAGAAGUUCUGACGGUACCUGAGGAAUCAGCAUCGGCUAACUCCGUGCCAGCAGCCGCGGUAAUACGGAGGAUGCAAGCGUUAUCCGGAAUUAUUGGGCGUAAAGCGUCCGUAGGCGGUGAGUUAAGUCUGCUGUCAAAGCCUGCAGCUCAACUGUGGAGUGGCAGUGGAAACUGAUUGACUAGAGUGCGAUAGGGGUAGAGGGAAUUCCCAGUGUAGCGGUGAAAUGCGUAGAUAUUGGGAAGAACACCAGUGGCGAAGGCGCUCUACUGGGUCGCAACUGACGCUGAGGGACGAAAGCUAGGGGAGCG